CAAAAACAUAGCCGUUAGAAACCAUUAAUGGUAUUUUCUGCUCCAUGAUUUUUAAAUAGCCGCAGUACCCUGACUGUGCAAAGGUAGCGUAAUCAUUUGACUUAUAAUUGAAGUCUCGUAUGAAUGAAAGGAUGGGGGAAAGCUUUAUCUAUGGUUCAGUUUGAACUUAAUUAAUAAGUGRAAAUGCUUAUACAUAAACAUUAGACGAGAAGACCCUAGAAAUUUUUAUGAUUUGACAUAAUCAGUUUUUGUUGGGGCAACAUAGUAACAAUUAAUCUACAUUAUACAACAUGAAACUAAGGAGAUAGUUUAAAUUACUCUAGGGAUAACAGCGUAAUAUUUAAUUGUUUGCGACCUCGAUGUUGGACUAGGAAACGACUGUUUAGAAGACACGAUGSCYUGCUCUGUUCG
rnacentral:rRNA from 1 species